rnacentral:rRNA from 1 species
AUGGCAUCUCUACAUGCAGCUGUUGCGGCCGCACAAGGUACUACGAUGGUUGAACCACAGUUUGGAAGACCUGCUACCACACUUGGCCCUGCAAUUCCUAGAGACCCUCCAAAAUCAACAACAAAAGGGAGGGCAAAGUCAAAAAGAAUUCAAUCAGCACUUGAGCUGCAUCCGAAGAGAAAGAACAAGUGCAGCUAUUGUGGUUUUGUUAACCACAAUGGUGCAAGCUGCAGGACCAGAUUGGUGUAA